rnacentral:misc_RNA from 1 species
AAGUCGUAACAAGGUUUCCGUAGGUGAACCUGCGGAAGGAUCAUUACCGAGUUCAUGCCCUCACGGGUAGAUCUCCCACCCUUUGUAUACCAUACCUUUGUUGCUUUGGCGGGCCGCCUAGCUACUGGCUUCGGCUGGUAAGUGCCCGCCAGAGGACCCAAAACCCUGAAUAUUAGUGUCGUCUGAGUAAAAUUUUAAUAUUUAAAACUUUCAACAACGGAUCUCUUGGCUCUC